UGGCUCAUUAUAUAAGUUAUCGUUUAUUUGAUAGUACCUUACUACUUGGAUAACCGUGGUAAUUCUAGAGCUAAUACAUGCUAAAAAUCCCGACUUCGGAAGGGAUGUAUUUAUUAGAUUAAAAACCAAUGCCCUCUGGGCUCCUUGGUGAUUCAUGAUAACUCUUCGAAUCGCACGGCCUUGCGCCGGCGAUGGUUCAUUCAAAUUUCUUCCCUAUCAACUUUCGAUGUUUGGGUAUUGGCCAAACAUGGUUGCAACGGGUAACGGAGGGUUAGGGCUCGACCCCGGAGAAGGAGCCUGAGAAACGGCUACUACAUCCAAGGAAGGCAGCAGGCGCGCAAAUUACCCAAUCCCGAUUCGGGGAGGUAGUGACAAUAAAUACUGAUACAGGGCUCUUUUGGGUCUUGUAAUUGGAAUGAGUACAAUUUAAAUCUCUUAACGAGGAACAAUUGGAGGGCAAGUCUGGUGCCAGCAGCCGCGGUAAUUCCAGCUCCAAUAGCGUAUAUUAAAGUUGUUGUGGUUAAAAAGCUCGUAGUUGAACCUUGGGCCUGGCUGGCCGGUCCGCCUCACCGCGUGCACUGGUCCGGCCGGGCCUUUCCCUCUGUGGAACCCCAUGCCCUUCACUGGGCGUGGCGGGGAAACAGGACGUUUACUUUGAAAAAAUUAGAGUGCUCCAGGCAGGCCUAUGCUCGAAUACAUUAGCAUGGAAUAAUGAAAUAGGACGCGUGGUUCUAUUUUGUUGGUUUCUAGGACCGCCGUAAUGAUUAAUAGGGACAGUCGGGGGCAUCAGUAUUCAAUUGUCAGAGGUGAAAUUCUUGGAUUUAUUGAAGACUAACUACUGCGAAAGCAUUUGCCAAGGAUGUUUUCAUUAAUCAGGAACGAAAGUUAGGGGAUCGAAGACGAUCAGAUACCGUCGUAGUCUUAACCAUAAACUAUGCCGACUAGGGAUCGGACGAUGUUAUUUUUU
rnacentral:rRNA from 1 species